AUGGAAUGGACCUGGGUGGUUUUCUUCCUGGUGUCAUUAACUACAGGUGUCCACUCCCAGGUCCAGCUGCAGCAGUCUGGAGCUGAGCUGGUGAAGCCUGGGGCCUCAGUGAAGAUGUCCUGCAAGGCUUCUGGCUUCACCUUCAGCAGUAACUAUAUAGGUUGGUUGAAGCAGAAGCCUGGACAGAGUCUUGAGUGGAUUGGAUAUAUUUAUCCUGGAAGUGGUGGUACUGGCUAUACUGAGAAGUUCAAGGGCAAGGCCACACUGACUGCAGACACAUCCUCCAGCACAGCCUACAUGCAGCUCAGCAGCCUGACAUCUGAGGACUCUGCGGUCUAUUACUGUGCAAGACACAGUGUUACAACCACAUCCUGA